AUGGUCUGUGUUUAGCAUUAAGGUGGUCUUUGUUUAAUAUUCAGGUGGUCUGUGUUUAGUAUUAAGGUGGUCUGUGUUAUGGUCUGUGUUUAGUAUUCAGGUGGUCUGUGUUAUGGUCUGUGUUUAGUAUUCAGGUGGUCUGUGUUAUGGUCUGUGUUUAGUAUUCAGGUGGUCUGUGUUUAGCAUUAAGGUGGUCUGUGUUUAGCAUUAAGGUGGUCUGUGUUUAGCAUUAAGGUGGUCUGUGUUUAGCAUUAAGGUGGUCUGUGUUUAGCAUUAAGGUGGUCUGUGUUUAGCAUUAAGGUGGUCUGUGUUUAGUAUUAAGGUGGUCUGUGUUUAGCAUUAAGGUGGUCUGUGUUAUGGUCUGUGUUUAGUAUUCAGGUGGUCUGUGUUUAGUAUUAAGGUGGUCUGUGUUAUGGUCUGUGUUUAGUAUUCAGGUGGUCUGUGUUUAGUAUUAAGGUGGUCUGUGUUAUGGUCUGUGUUUAGUAUUCAGGUGGUCUGUGUUAUGGUCUGUGUUUAGUAUUCAGGUGGUCUGUGUUUAGUAUUCAGGUGGUCUGUGUUUAGUAUUAAGGUGGUCUGUGUUAUGGUCUGUGUUUAGUAUUCAGGUGGUCUGUGUUAUGGUCUGUGUUUAGUAUUCAGGUGGUCUGUGUUUAGUAUUAAGGUGGUCUGUGUUAUGGUCUGUGUUUAGUAUUCAGGUGGUCUGUGUUUAGCAUUAAGGUGGUCUGUGUUUAGUAUUAAGGUGGUCUGUGUUUAGUAUUAAGGUGGUCUGUGUUUAGUAUUCAGGUGGUCUGUGUUUAGUAUUAAGGUGGUCUGUGUUAUGGUCUGUGUUUAGUAUUCAGGUGGUCUGUGUUUA